rnacentral:lncRNA from 10 species
GCCACACCUAAAAUAAACAUCAAUGGCAAGGGUAGGUCAACUGCAGCAGUUUCUGAACAAGAAAACCAGAGGCAGAGCGUGAUCAAUAACAAAAUGACUGGAAGAAAGAGAAGGGAGAGAAAGACAGCCAGAGAAGCAACUUCAGAGGCAAAAUAGACACUAAACCCAAUGCCUUUUUGAAAUGCUGUGAAAGGAACAACAUAGCAAAAUUUAAGAAUAACUAUUAACCCAGACCGUCAUGCAGGUGUGAUGUUAGCAGCUGCUUAGAAACUUUCUCCCCCAGUGAGAAAGAAGAACAACUGUGUCCAAAAUGACAAAAGAAUGGAUCAUUAACAAGAUAUUAUAGAAAACUACAUUCUGAUGAUGAAAAUGAUCCUCAGAGGAGCAUUGUUAAUAAUCAAAUUACCAAAGAAUGAUGCCUACUCUGAAUCCAGAUGUCUGACUUCACAGGACAAAACCACUGCAUUUACUGUUCUCAAAUGAUUUAUUUUAAGAAUUUACGCUUCUAAAUUUAAUCCCUGAGGGUAAUGGGUUAUGUCUUAAAAUAUGUAAUGGAACAUUAAAAAAAUGAAUUCUUU